GCUUUUGCUGAUGGAUGUGGACCUGGACUUUGUUGUGUUACUACAACUGGUCUGAAAUGGAUGAGUGCACCCUGCUGUUGCAGCGUCUUCAGUGUGAUAAGCAUCUUCACUGAUUCAAGUUCCUUCCGGACACGUGUGCAUUGUGGGCUCUGUGCUGGCAAACCGUCUUUGGACAAUCUUGACAAUUUGACCUCAGAUCGGGUGGGACUACCCGCUGAACUUAAGCAUAUCAAUAAGCGGAGGAAAAGAAACUAACAAGGAUUCCCCUAGUAACGGCGAGUGAAGAGGGAAAAGCUCAAAUUUUGAAUCUGGUGUCUUUGGCGCCCGAGUUGUAAUCUAGAGAAGUGUUUUCUGCCUCGGACCACACAUAAAUUCCCUGGAAUGGGGUGUCAUAGAGGGUGAGAAUCCCGUUUGUGGUGUGGACUACCUUGGCUCUGUGAUACACUCUCAACGAGUCGAGUUGUUUGGGAAUGCAGCUCAAAAUGGGUGGUAAAUUCCAUCUAAAGCUAAAUAUUGGCGAGAGACCGAUAGCGAACAAGUACCGUGAGGGAAAGAUGAAAAGCACUUUGGAAAGAGAGUGAAACAGUACGUGAAAUUGUUGAAAGGGAAGCGUUUGAAGUCAGUCACAUUGGUCGGAAUUCAGCCUGGCUUCUGCCUGGUGUACUUUCUGGCAAAUGGGUCAGCGUCAAUUUUGACCGAGAGAGAAAGACUUGAGGAAUGUGGCUGUCUUYGGGCAGUGUUAUAGCCUCUUGUUGUAUGUCUCGGUUGGGAUUGAGGAUCGCAGCACGCCUUAUGGCCGGGGUUCGCCCUCGGAACGUGCUUAGGACGCUGGCAUAAUG
rnacentral:rRNA from 1 species